rnacentral:lncRNA from 1 species
AUCCAAUCUAUGACAUACCCAAUACAGAUAUCAUCAUCCAGAGAUCAUAUCUACGCAGAUUCAAUCUCAAAGAAGUCUUUCAAUCUAAUCAAAUCAACAUCUAAAAUAGGCUAAAACCCUAAACCUAAAGAAAUAGAAAUACUUACGAGAUUGAAAUAGAUUAACUGAAGAAUACCUAUAUAGAGAGGACUCUGAAUCGGUAUCAGAGAGCUUCAAGA